UACGUAGGUGGCAAGCGUUGUCCGGAAUUACUGGGCGUAAAGGGCGUGUAGGCGGCUUUUUAAGUCAGACGUGAAAUCUCUGGGCUUAACCCAGAAAUUGCGUUUGAAACUGGAAGGCUUGAGGAUCGGAGAGGGUAGUGGAAUUCCCAGUGUAGCGGUGAAAUGCGUAGAUAUUGGGAGGAACACCAGUGGCGAAGGCGACUGCCUGGACGACACCUGACGCUGAGGCGCGAAAGCUAGGGGAGCAAAC
rnacentral:rRNA from 1 species